AGGCUCGCUUCGGCGGGUCGAUCC
rnacentral:snRNA from 1 species